CUUGGAGGAUGUAUAGCAAUUGCUAUUUGCAUUAAAAGUUUUAGUGUAAAAUCGACUUUGUCGAAUAAAAUUCUGGGUAGAAUUAUGAUAAUGACAUUACCUACUCAUAAGUCUUGACCAAAUUACGUGCCAGCAGUCGCGGUAAUACGUAGAAGACAAGUGUUAUUCAUCUUUAAUAGGUUUAAAGGGUACUUAGACGGUAAAUAAAGCCUCUAAAAGGUACUAGUUUGCUAGAGUUUUAUAUGAAGGAGUUUUAAAGUACUACUGGUGUAGAGAUGAAAUUCAGUUAUACCUUACAUGGCACAGGUUAAGGCGAAAGCAUCUUCUUAUGUAAAAACUGACGUUGAAGGACGAAGGCUUUGUGUCUCGAACAGGAUUAGAUACCCUAGUAGUCUAAGCAGAAAAUGAUGAAUGUCAUAGAUUAGAUUUAAUUUGAUCUGUAAAUGAAAGUGUAAGCAUUCCACCUCAAGAGUAAUUUGGCAACAUUGGAACUGAAAUCAUUAGACCGUUUCUGAAACCAGUAGUGAAGUAUGUUGUUUAAUUUGAUAAUCCGCAAAAAACCUUACCACAAUUUGAAUAGAUAUAUUUUAUCAUACAAGCGUUGCACGGCUGUCUUCAGUUAAUGUCGUGAGACUUUGGUUAGUUCCAUUAAAUUAACGUAAACCCUUACUUUAUUUUUAUAUAAAGUAGUUCACCGCUAUAUUGGAUGUGAUAAUAGGGAUCAAGACAAGUCAUCAUGACCUA
rnacentral:rRNA from 1 species